rnacentral:rRNA from 1 species
AGAGUUUGAUCCUGGCUCAGAUUGAACGCUGGCGGCAUGCCUUACACAUGCAAGUCGAACGGUAACGCGGGGCAACCUGGCGACGAGUGGCGAACGGGUGAGUAAUAUAUCGGAACGUGCCCAGUAGUGGGGGAUAGCCCGGCGAAAGCUGGAUUAAUACCGCAUGAGACCUGAGGGUGAAAGCGGGGGAUCGCAAGACCUCGCGCUAUUGGAGCGGCCGAUAUCGGAUUAGCUAGUUGGUGGGGUAAAGGCCUACCAAGGCAACGAUCUGUAGUUGGUCUGAGAGGACGACCAGCCACACUGGGACUGAGACACGGCCCAGACUCCUACGGGAGGCAGCAGUGGGGAAUUUUGGACAAUGGGCGCAAGCCUGAUCCAGCAAUGCCGCGUGCAGGAAGAAGGCCUUCGGGUUGUAAACUGCUUUUGUCAGGGAAGAAAUCCUCUGGGUUAAUACCUCGGGGGGAUGACGGUACCUGAAGAAUAAGCACCGGCUAACUACGUGCCAGCAGCCGCGGUAAUACGUAGGGUGCGAGCGUUAAUCGGAAUUACUGGGCGUAAAGCGUGCGCAGGCGGCUUUGCAAGACAGAUGUGAAAUCCCCGGGCUCACCCUGGGAACUGCAUUUGUGACUGCAAGGCUAGAGUACGGCAGAGGGGGAUGGAAUUCCGCGUGUAGCAGUGAAAUGCGUAGA